AUGUCGUGGUGUGGACAUUUUGUUAAUAUUACUUUUACUUUCCCAAGCUUGAUAAACUGACUCAGUGUCAGUCUGUAAGAAAUUAGAGAUGUUUUGUCUUAACUU
rfam:Nicotiana attenuata strain TT chromosome 3, whole genome shotgun sequence.